AUUGAACGCUGGCGGCAGGCCUAACACAUGCAGGUCGAACGAAGCCUUCGGGCUUAGUGGCGGACGGGUGAGUAACACGUGGGAACGUACCUUUCGGUUCGGAACAACUCAGGGAAACUUGAGCUAAUACCGGAUGAGCCCUUAGGGGGAAAGAUUUAUCGCCGAAAGAGCGGCCCGCGUUAGAUUAGCUAGUUGGUGAGGUAAAGGCUCACCAAGGCAACGAUCUAUAGCUGGUCUGAGAGGAUGAUCAGCCACACUGGGACUGAGACACGGCCCAGACUCCUACGGGAGGCAGCAGUGGGGAAUCUUGCGCAAUGGGCGAAAGCCUGACGCAGCCAUGCCGCGUGAAUGAUGAAGGUCUUAGGAUUGUAAAAUUCUUUUACCAGGGACGAUAAUGACGGUAACCGGAGAAGAAGCCCCGGCUAACUUCGUGCCAGCCGCCGCGGUAAUAC
rnacentral:rRNA from 1 species